UACGUAGGUGGCAAGCGUUAUCCGGAAUUAUUGGGCGUAAAGAGCUCGUAGGCGGUUUGUUGCGUCGGCUGUGAAAUCCCGAGGCUCAACCUCGGGUCUGCAGUCGAUACGAGCAAACUAGAGUGUUGCAGGGGAGACUGGAAUUCCUGGUGUAGCGGUGAAAUGCGCAGAUAUCAGGAGGAACACCGGUGGCGAAGGCGGGUCUCUGGGCAACAACUGACGCUGGAGGAGCGAAAGCGUGGGGAGCAAACAGG
rnacentral:rRNA from 1 species